rnacentral:rRNA from 1 species
UGAAUACGAGACGCUAAGGCGUCGAAGUAGUGUAUGUCAUACUUCCAAGAAAAGCUUGCACUGUCAUAGAUAAAAAACGCCUGUACCAUAACCGACACAGGUGGGUAGGUAGAGUAUACUAAGGGGCGCGAGAUAACUCUCUCUAAGGAACUCGGCAAAAUAACUCCGUAACUUCGGGAGAAGGAGUGCCUUAUUCGUAAGGUUGCAAUAACAAGAUCCAAGCAACUGUUUAUCAAAAACACAGGUCUCCGCUAAGUCGUAAGACGAUGUAUGGGGGCUGACGCCUGCCCAGUGCCAGAAGGUUAAAGAAGUUGGUUAGCAAUUGCGAAGCUGAUAACUGAAGCCCUGGUGAACGGCGGCCGUAACAAUAACGGUCCUAAGGUAGCGAAAUUCCUUGUCGGGUAAGUUCCGACCCGCACGAAAGGCGUAAUGAUUUGGAUACUGUCUCGGAGAGGGGCUCGGUGAAAUAGACUUGUCUGUGAAGAUGCGGACUACCUGCACCAGGACAGAAAGACCCUAUGAAGCUUUACUGUAACUUGAAAUUGAAAUUGGACUUUAUUCGCGCAGUAUAGGUGGGAGGCGUUGAUUAUAAUCUUGUGGGAUUAUUGGAGCCAUCAGUGAGAUACCACUCUUGUAAUGUUAGAUUUCUAACUUUGAAUCAUUAUCUGGUCAAAGAACAGUUUCAGGCGGGCAGUUUGACUGGGGCGGUCGCCUCCUAAACGGUAACGGAGGCGUACAAAGGUUUCCUCUGAACGGUUAGAAAUCGUAUCUAGAGUGUAAAGGCAUAAGGAAGCUUGACUGUGAGACCUACAAGUCGAGCAGGGACGAAAGUCGGUCUUAGUGAUCUGACGGUACUGAGUGGAAAGGCCGUCACUCAACGGAUAAAAGUUACUCUAGGAUAACAGGCUGAUCUCCCCCAAGAGUUCACAUCGACGGGGAGGUUUGGCACCUCGAUGUCGGCUCAUCGCAUCCUGGGGCGGUAGUACGUCCCAAGGGUUGGGCUGUUCGCCCAUGAAAGCGGUACGCGAGCUGGGUUCAGAACGUCGUGAGACAGUUCGGUCCAUAUCCGGUGUAGGCGUUAGAAUAUUGAGAGGAGCCUUCUUUAGUACGAGAGGACCGAGAAGGACAUACCUCUGGUGUACCAGUUAUCGUGCCAACGGUAAACGCUGGGUAGCUAUGUAUGGAGUGGAUAACCGCUGAAAGCAUCUAAGUGGGAAGCCCACCUCAAGAUAAGUAUUCUCAUU